rnacentral:tRNA from 1 species
GCCGGGAUAGCUCACUUGGUAAAGCAGAGGAC